rnacentral:rRNA from 1 species
AUGUCGCUCCGGCUUCGGGAUUGCUCAGGUCCAACAGAGAGCACCGAGCGAGAAAAAAAAACGAUCCCCUUUCUUCUCUUACCCACUUUCAUCAAGCACCUUCCCGCACCCAACCUCGGAUUCGUGGUGCGCGCCCGCGAGCGAUUCGACGCGCUACCGCCCCGGCGGACCCUGCUCGGCCGGAGCCGGACGUGCCUCACGUGGUUGUGUUAUAUAAACCUGCACUCUGAUGAUACGUGUGGUGACCACAGAGACAGCAAAAUUGGCUUUCUGAAAACAAAAGAUGAUAACCAAUCUGAUCUCGAGGGGCCGCAUAGAAAUGCUGGGCCGUGGCUGUGCUCCAUUUGCUCGCAGCAAAAUGAUACGAGUUGUAUGUCCUGUGAGGUAUGCGGCGUUCUUCGGGAUUUGUCGCUGUAUUUCAAUAACACCAAUGAACCUGAAGGUGGAGCUAAACGCAGAAACAAGCAUUCUGGUGUGUCUGUACUGGCAAGAUCUCUUUUCACACCAUCCAGUCCAAAAUCAAAAGCCAUUGUUUUCUCCGAUGGAUUUCGAGGCAACAAAAACGCAACAGGACAUAUGCAAGCUUCCUUGGGUACCCUCCACAAAACAUUCAUGACACAUAAGCAGCGCCAUAACAUAGUGCCUUUCAAGUUUGAUAUACCAUCUCCUGAUGACAUGGUCUCUAUAGGCUUAAAAUCGUCCAGACAUUUGCGAAAAGAUAUCCCCGGAAAGAUGGUGAUGGGUGAUGAUGAUCUUGUAGCUGAGAAGGAUACAAGUACAGACCCAAGUUCAUCAGUGAAGUUGGAUGAACUUGGUGGAAAUAGUAGCAGUGUUGCCGCCAAUACUCGGAACGAAACUCUUAUUUUGGACAAUGAGCUACAACAUUUGAGUUUAGAGAGGAAGCCAAAAAACAGUAAAGCCAAGAUUAAGAAGCCAGUUCCUGUUUCACAGUACAAGCCAGAACCGUGGAUGCUACAGGGAGAAGAUCAAGAAAUGCCUAGGCAACUAAAUCUUGCUAUUGUUGGUCACGUUGAUUCUGGCAAAUCAACAUUAUGUGGUCGGUUGCUGCAUGCCCUGGGUAGAAUUUCAAAAAAGCAAAUGCAUAAGAAUGAGAAAGAAGCGAAAGAAAAGGGAAAAGGGUCGUUUGCAUAUGCUUGGGCCAUGGAUGAGAGUGCUGACGAAAGGGCACGUGGUAUCACGAUGAAUGUCGGUGUAGCAUACUUUGACACCAAAAACUACCAAGUUGUUAUGCUCGACUCCCCUGGUCACAAAGAUUUCGUUCCUAACAUGAUAUCUGGAGUGACACAAGCUGAUGCAGCUGUCCUAGUUGUUGAUGCCUCUCUAGGAUCAUUUGAGUCGGGUAUGGGCGUUAAUGGGAUUGGACAGACAAAGGAGCACUCACAGCUUAUUCGAAGUUUCGGUGUUGAGAACUUGAUAGUUGCUGUUAAUAAGAUGGAUUCAGUGGAAUAUUCGGCGGAACGCUUCAAUUAUGUGAAAUCACAACUUGGCAUUUUUCUCCGAUCAUGUGGCUAUAAAGAGUCAGCGAUAACCUGGGUUCCUUUGAGUGCAAUGGAAAAUGAGAAUCUGGUGACAGCAGCUUCAGAUACUCGUCUCUCAUCAUGGUUUCAUGGGACUUGCCUUCUGGAAGCAAUUGACUCGUCAGCAGCACCUCACCGUGAUGUUUCAAAGCCACUACGGCUUCCAAUUUGUGAUGUUAUUUCAUCCCAUGUGCUGGGGCAAGUGGCGGUUUGCGGUAAAGUAGUGUGUGGAGCAAUCCGAAGCGAUUCCAAGGUUCUUGUGAUGCCUUCUGGAGAGCUAGCUACAGUGAAAAUCAUCGAGCGGGACUCCUCUCGUCUCAGCUCGGCAAGAGCCGGCGACAACAUUGCGAUUGGGCUGCAAGGGAUCGACCCUAUCCAUGUGAUGUCGGGUGGAGUCCUGUGCCAUCCAGAUUACCCCGUGUCGGUGGCGUCUUCCCUGGAGCUGAAGAUCCUGGUGCUAGACAUCACCGUACCCAUACUGCCGGGCCUUCAGUUUGAGCUCCACGCACACCACGCGAAGGUGUCGGCGUCCCUGGUGAGGAUCGUGUCGCUGCUGGACCAGAAGACCGGCAAGGCCUCGGCGAGGAAGCCGCGGAUGCUGACCGCAAGGCAGGCCGCCGUCGUCGAGGUGAGGCUGGAGAGGGAGGUGUGCGUGGAGGAGUUUGGAACACUCAAGGCCCUCGGCCGCGCGUUCCUGCGGUCGCAGGGGAGCACCGUGGCGGUCGGCGUCGUGACCCGCGUCGUGCAGGUCGACAUGUCCACGUUGCGAGCUCCACCUACCGUCCCGUCCGGCCGUCCCCGUCCGUCGAGGUCGUCGUUGAUUUGCUUGCCCAUGUCAGCACGUCCGCCGAUCGAGCUGCUUCAACUCAAACUCUCGAGUUAUAGAUACACUAGCCUGCGGCGCGCAUAA